UUUCAUUACUGCCUGACUUUUUUACUCCUGCCAUCCAUAAGGACAGUCCAGCCUUGCUCUCGAUGGUGUGACUCGGUGUCCGAUCCCGGUCUGUUUUUCGAUAUGUGUCUUGAACCUAUGUCUGCGUAAAAAUAUUG